CACGUAGGGGGGCGAGCGUUGUCCGGAAUUACUGGGCGUAAAGAGCUCGUAGGUGGUUUGUCGCGUUGUUCGUGAAAACUCACAGCUCAACUGUGGGCGUGCGGGCGAUACGGGCAGACUGGAGUACUGCAGGGGAGACUGGAAUUCCUGGUGUAGCGGUGGAAUGCGCAGAUAUCAGGAGGAACACCGGUGGCGAAGGCGGGUCUCUGGGCAGUAACUGACGCUGGAGGAGCGAAAGCGUGGGGAGCGAACAGG
rnacentral:rRNA from 1 species